GGAGGUAUAGCUCAAUGGUAGAUUGUGGACUUGGCAUGCACGAGGUCCUGGGUUCAAUUCCCAGUACCUCCG
rnacentral:tRNA from 1 species